CCGCAAUAUUCAUGUAGAACUCGUUCUUUAGUUAUAGGAUGCAUCUUAUUUCAUGCUCGUUGGAGCGUUUGCCUUAUCAAGAUAUUGAUUUCAACGCAGAUCUCAGUUCAUCUUUGGGCAACUGGUAAAGGGGAUCUGUCAGUGCAAUCAUUCCUUGCCAUACAAGAUGUGGCUGUUGUGUUCAACUCGGAUUUGUUUGAG
rnacentral:lncRNA from 1 species